AAAUAUUAAAUAAGUCGGAUUUUUUUUAGAAUAUUUUCCUAAUUAAAAGUGUAUUUUUGUUUCCAAACAGACCUCGCAAGAGAGAGCUUUACAAAAUGAUCAUUGACAUACAAGCAGAGAAAAAAUUUGUUGGUACUCGGAUGAUAAGGCCGAUUGAUAGAGACUGUUAGAUUUGGCUUUAAAGGCUUCGACUUUUAAAAUUUGAGCUUAAGAGAAUUUGGCUGUAGAAACUUUGACUGUUAAAAUUGAUUGGUAGAACAAAGUUGUAAAAGUUGUGACUGUUAUUUUAUUAUUAUAUAUU
rnacentral:sRNA from 1 species